rnacentral:piRNA from 1 species
UGGGACACAACAUUCAGUCUAAUACAAACC